rnacentral:rRNA from 1 species
GAUGAACGCUGGCGGCGUGCCUAAUACAUGCAAGUCGAGCGAACGGACGAGAAGCUUGCUUCUCUGAUGUUAGCGGCGGACGGGUGAGUAACACGUGGAUAACCUACCUAUAAGACUGGGAUAACUUCGGGAAACCGGAGCUAAUACCGGAUAAUAUUUUGAACCGCAUGGUUCAAAAGUGAAAGACGGUCUUGCUGUCACUUAUAGAUGGAUCCGCGCUGCAUUAGCUAGUUGGUAAGGUAACGGCUUACCAAGGCAACGAUGCAUAGCCGACCUGAGAGGGUGAUCGGCCACACUGGAACUGAGACACGGUCCAGACUCCUACGGGAGGCAGCAGUAGGGAAUCUUCCGCAAUGGGCGAAAGCCUGACGGAGCAACGCCGCGUGAGUGAUGAAGGUCUUCGGAUCGUAAAACUCUGUUAUUAGGGAAGAACAUAUGUGUAAGUAACUGUGCACAUCUUGACGGUACCUGAUCAGAAAGCCACGGCUAACUACGUGCCAGCAGCCGCGGUAAUACGUAGGUGGCAAGCGUUAUCCGGAAUUAUUGGGCGUAAAGCGCGCGUAGGCGGUUUUUUAAGUCUGAUGUGAAAGCCCACGGCUCAACCGUGGAGGGUCAUUGGAAACUGGAAAACUUGAGUGCAGAAGAGGAAAGUGGAAUUCCAUGUGUAGCGGUGAAAUGCGCAGAGAUAUGGAGGAACACCAGUGGCGAAGGCGACUUUCUGGUCUGUAACUGACGCUGAUGUGCGAAAGCGUGGGGAUCAAACAGGAUUAGAUACCCUGGUAGUCCACGCCGUAAACGAUGAGUGCUAAGUGUUAGGGGGUUUCCGCCCCUUAGUGCUGCAGCUAACGCAUUAAGCACUCCGCCUGGGGAGUACGACCGCAAGGUUGAAACUCAAAGGAAUUGACGGGGACCCGCACAAGCGGUGGAGCAUGUGGUUUAAUUCGAAGCAACGCGAAGAACCUUACCAAAUCUUGACAUCCUUUGACAACUCUAGAGAUAGAGCCUUCCCCUUCGGGGGACAAAGUGACAGGUGGUGCAUGGUUGUCGUCAGCUCGUGUCGUGAGACGUUGGGUUAAGUCCCGCAACGAGCGCAACCCUUAAGCUUAGUUGCCAUCAUUAAGUUGGGCACUCUAAGUUGACUGCCGGUGACAAACCGGAGGAAGGUGGGGAUGACGUCAAAUCAUCAUGCCCCUUAUGAUUUGGGCUACACACGUGCUACAAUGGACAAUACAAAGGGCAGCGAAACCGCGAGGUCAAGCAAAUCCCAUAAAGUUGUUCUCAGUUCGGAUUGUAGUCUGCAACUCGACUACAUGAAGCUGGAAUCGCUAGUAAUCGUAGAUCAGCAUGCUACGGUGAAUACGUUCCCGGGUCU